AUACUUACCUGGCAGGGGAGAUACCAUGAUCAGGAAGGUGAUUUUCCCAGGGCAAGGCUUAUCCAUUGCACUCCGGAUGUGCUGACCCCUGCGAUUUCCCCAAAUGCGGGAAACUGGACUGCAUAAUUUGUGGUAGUGGGGGACUGCGUUCGCGCUCUCCCAUG
ensembl:snRNA Rnu1-24 RNA, U1 small nuclear 24